rnacentral:misc_RNA from 1 species
AUGGCUGCGCGUUCAGUCUGGUUGGGUAGCUGGGGACUUGAUUUACUGGGUGUCGGGUGGCAUUUGUCAUUCUGCACUCGGGUUAUAUACCCGUGAGAGCCUGAGGGCUGGCCCAGGUCAGUCAUCUGGUUUUCGCGUGGCAAUAUAACUUUUCCUAUGUUAAGCCGGCUGGCUAGUUCUGACCGCUGGGUAAGUCACUCGUGGCUUGCCCAAGCUGUGCUUAUUCGAUAUACGCUGCGCGAUAUCGGGCGCGAGCUCGUACCCCACUGCGCUUAUAUUGCUGCUCCGCACGGGAAAUUGCUAGACCGUGCGGUGGCACAAUAAUAAUUACUAUGGUUGCUCUGAAAUUCGGGUCCACACGGGAUGGGUACUACCGUGUGGACAAAGCUUGUCAGCUGAAUCGCUUCCACGAAUCCCUGUGGUUGCGCGCGCUCUCAGUCCCUUUGGGGUUGAGUUGCUUGAAAGAGUGAAC